rnacentral:rRNA from 1 species
CCUACGGGAGGCAGCAGUAGGGAAUCUUCCGCAAUGGACGAAAGUCUGACGGAGCAACGCCGCGUGAGUGAUGAAGGCUUUCGGGUCGUAAAACUCUGUUGUUAGGGAAGAACAAGUGCUAGUUGAAUAAGCUGGCACCUUGACGGUACCUAACCAGAAAGCCACGGCUAACUACGUGCCAGCAGCCGCGGUAAUACGUAGGUGGCAAGCGUUAUCCGGAAUUAUUGGGCGUAAAGCGCGCGCAGGUGGUUUCUUAAGUCUGAUGUGAAAGCCCACGGCUCAACCGUGGAGGGUCAUUGGAAACUGGGAGACUUGAGUGCAGAAGAGGAAAGUGGAAUUCCAUGUGUAGCGGUGAAAUGCGUAGAGAUAUGGAGGAACACCAGUGGCGAAGGCGACUUUCUGGUCUGUAACUGACACUGAGGCGCGAAAGCGUGGGGAGCAAACAGGAUUAGAUACCCUGGUAGUCCACGCCGUAAACGAUGAGUGCUAAGUGUUAGAGGG